rnacentral:rRNA from 1 species
GAAGAGAGCUUGCUCUCUGAUUCAGCGGCGGACGGGUGAGUAAUGCCUAGGAAUCUGCCUGGUAGUGGGGGACAACGUCUCGAAAGGGACGCUAAUACCGCAUACGUCCUACGGGAGAAAGCAGGGGACCUUCGGGCCUUGCGCUAUCAGAUGAGCCUAGGUCGGAUUAGCUAGUUGGUGAGGUAAUGGCUCACCAAGGCGACGAUCCGUAACUGGUCUGAGAGGAUGAUCAGUCACACUGGAACUGAGACACGGUCCAGACUCCUACGGGAGGCAGCAGUGGGGAAUAUUGGACAAUGGGCGAAAGCCUGAUCCAGCCAUGCCGCGUGUGUGAAGAAGGUCUUCGGAUUGUAAAGCACUUUAAGUUGGGAGGAAGGGUUGUAGAUUAAUACUCUGCAAUUUUGACGUUACCGACAGAAUAAGCACCGGCUAACUCUGUGCCAGCAGCCGCGGUAAUACAGAGGGUGCAAGCGUUAAUCGGAAUUACUGGGCGUAAAGCGCGCGUAGGUGGUUUGUUAAGUUGGAUGUGAAAGCCCCGGGCUCAACCUGGGAACUGCAUUCAAAACUGACAAGCUAGAGUAUGGUAGAGGGUGGUGGAAUUUCCUGUGUAGCGGUGAAAUGCGUAGAUAUAGGAAGGAACACCAGUGGCGAAGGCGACCACCUGGACUGAUACUGACACUGAGGUGCGAAAGCGUGGGGAGCAAACAGGAUUAGAUACCCUGGUAGUCCACGCCGUAAACGAUGUCAACU